GUGAAGAAGGGUUUCGGCUCGUAAAACUCUGUUGUUAAAGAAGAACAUAUCUGAGAGUAACUGUUCAGGUAUUGACGGUAUUUAACCAGAAAGCCACGGCUAACUACGUGCCAGCAGCCGCGGUAAUACGUAGGUGGCAAGCGUUGUCCGGAUUUAUUGGGCGUAAAGCGAGCGCAGGCGGUUUUUUAAGUCUGAUGUGAAAGCCUUCGGCUCAACCGAAGAAGUGCAUCGGAAACUGGGAAACUUGAGUGCAGAAGAGGACAGUGGAACUCCAUGUGUAGCGGUGAAAUGCGUAGAUAUAUGGAAGAACACCAGUGGCGAAGGCGGCUGUCUGGUCUGUAACUGACGCUGAGGCUCGAAAGUAUGGGUAGCAAACAGGAUUAGAUACCCUGGUAGUCCAUACCGUAAACGAUGAAUGCUAAGUGUUGGAGGGUUUCCGCCCUUCAGUGCUGCAGCUAACGCAUUAAGCAUUCCGCCUGGGGAGUACGGCCGCAAGGCUGAAACUCAAAGGAAUUGACGGGGGCCCGCACAAGCGGGUGGGAG
rnacentral:rRNA from 2 species